UUUUUUAAUUGAAAACUUGUAUGAAUGGUUGAACGAAAUAUAAACUGUCUUAAUAAAAAUAUAUUUGAAGUUUACUUUUUAAUUAAAAGGUUAAAAUUAAAUUAAAAGACGAGAAGACCCUAUAGAUCUUUAUUUUAAUUAUUUAUUUAAUUUAAUUAUAAAUAUUUAAAUUUUAUAAAAAUUAGAAUUUUAUUGGGGUGAUAAAAAAAUUUAAAAAACUUUUUUAAUUUUUAAACAUAAAUUAAUGAAUAUUUGAUCCAUUAUUAAUGAUUAAUAGAUUAAGUUACCUUAGGGAUAACAGCGUAAUUUUUUUUGAAAGUUCAUAUUUAUAAAAAAGAUUGC
rnacentral:rRNA from 1 species